GUGGGGAAUCUUGCGCAAUGGGCGAAAGCCUGACGCAGCCAUGCCGCGUGAAUGAUGAAGGUCUUAGGAUUGUAAAAUUCUUUCACCGGGGACGAUAAUGACGGUACCCGGAGAAGAAGCUCCGGCUAACUUCGUGCCAGCAGCCGCGGUAAUACGAAGGGGGCUAGCGUUGCUCGGAAUUACUGGGCGUAAAGGGCGCGUAGGCGGACAGUUUAGUCAGAGGUGAAAGCCCAGGGCUCAACCUUGGAAUUGCCUUUGAUACUGGCUGUCUUGAGUUUGGGAGAGGUGAGUGGAACUCCGAGUGUAGAGGUGAAAUUCGUAGAUAUUCGGAAGAACACCAGUGGCGAAGGCGACUCACUGGCCCAAUACUGACGCUGAGGCGCGAAAGCGUGGGGAGCAAACAGGAUUAGAUACCCCGGUAGUCC
rnacentral:rRNA from 1 species